rnacentral:lncRNA from 1 species
UAGUAAUAAACAGCACAAGUAUGAUCACUCACCAUAUUGAUCCUUGUCUGGUGGUGGCAGUGGUAACACUAGAGCAAGAAGUGGGAUGUAAUUACAUUUUAUGUGCCAGGAAUCUCUGAGAUUUCAGAGGGCUGAGGGUGAGGGUUCUCUCCUCCUCCUCCACACUACCUCCCUACUCCCCAGCUGACAUGGUGUUUCUGGGGAACUGAAACUGGGAAGCCCUAAAUGGACUUCACACCUUGGCAGAGACCCUUGAGCAGGAUUUGUGUCUCCUCUAAAGUCAGAUGGGAGGGGGAAGUGACAAAUGGUAUAUUAGCUGAGAGUCCUGCCCAUUUCUUCAUGACUUCAGAAAGUUGCUUUCAGCAGAAAGGUGUUACUGAGCUAGAGGCAGACACAGCAGCUGCUGUCUGGUAA